UGGGGAAUUUUGGACAAUGGGCGCAAGCCUGAUCCAGCCAUGCCGCGUGCGGGAAGAAGGCCUUCGGGUUGUAAACCGCUUUUGUCAGGGAAGAAACGCUCUGGGCUAAUACCCUGGGGUAAUGACGGUACCUGAAGAAUAAGCACCGGCUAACUACGUGCCAGCAGCCGCGGUAAUACGUAGGGUGCAAGCGUUAAUCGGAAUUACUGGGCGUAAAGCGUGCGCAGGCGGUUAUGCAAGACAGAUGUGAAGCCCCCGGGCUCAACCUGGGAACUGCAUUUGUGACUGUAUAGCUAGAGUACGGUAGAGGGGGAUGGAAUUCCGCGUGUAGCAGUGAAAUGCGUAGAUAUGCGGAGGAACACCGAUGGCGAAGGCAAUCCCCUGGACCUGUACUGACGCUCAUGCACGAAAGCGUGGGGAGCAAACAGGAUUAGAUACCCAUGUAGUCCCUGAGCGGGCUGGCAAGGCGCAU
rnacentral:rRNA from 1 species